rnacentral:rRNA from 1 species
UACGUAGGGUGCGAGCGUUAAUCGGAAUUACUGGGCGUAAAGCGUGCGCAGGCGGUUUUGUAAGCCAGGUGUGAAAUCCCCGGGCUCAACCUGGGAAUGGCAUUUGGGACUGCAAGGCUGGAGUGCGGCAGAGGAGACUGGAAUUCCUGGUGUAGCAGUGAAAUGCGUAGAGAUCGGGAGGAACAUCAGUGGCGAAGGCGGCCAUCUGGAUCAACACUGACGCUGAGGCACGAAAGCGUGGGGAGCAAACAGG